GAUGAACGCUGGCGGCGUGCCUAAUACAUGCAAGUCGAGCGAAUGGAUUAAGAGCUUGCUCUUAUGAAGUUAGCGGCGGACGGGUGAGUAACACGUGGGUAACCUGCCCAUAAGACUGGGAUAACUCCGGGAAACCGGGGCUAAUACCGGAUAACAUUUUGAACCGCAUGGUUCGAAAUUGAAAGGCGGCUUCGGCUGUCACUUAUGGAUGGACACGCGUCGCAUUAGCUAGUUGGUGAGGUAACGGCUCACCAAGGCAACGAUGCGUAGCCGACCUGAGAGGGUGAUCGGACACACUGGGACUGAGACACGGCCCAGACUCCUACGGGAGGCAGCAGUAGGGAAUCUUCCGCAAUGGACGAAAGUCUGACGGAGCAACGCCGCGUGAGUGAUGAAGGCUUUCGGGUCGUAAAACUCUGUUGUUAGGGAAGAACAAGUGCUAGUUGAAUAAGCUGGCACCUUGACGGUACCUAACCAGAAAGCCACGGCUAACUACGUGCUAGCAGCCGCCGCGG
rnacentral:rRNA from 1 species